GACGUAGGGCGCGGAGCGUUGUCCGGAAUUAUUGGGCGUAAAGCGCACGUAGGCGGCAUUGCAAGUCGGAUGUGAAAUCCCUCGGCUUAACCAAGGAAGUGCAUCCGAAACUGCAGUGCUUGAGUACUUAAGAGGAUCGCGGAAGUUCCCGGUGUAGAGGUGAAAUUCGUAGAUAUCGGGAGGAACACCAGUGGCGAAGGCGGCGAUCUGGGAAGAUACUGACGCUGAGGUGCGAAAGCGUGGGGAGCAAACAGG
rnacentral:rRNA from 1 species